rnacentral:rRNA from 1 species
UACGUAGGGACCGAGCGUUGUCCGGAAUCAUUGGGCGUAAAGAGCGUGUAGGCGGCUACUUAAGUCCUGCGUGAAAUCUCGCGGCUCAACCGCAAGCGGUCGUGGGAAACUGGGUGGCUAGAGUGCGGGAGAGGAGAGUGGAAUUCCUGGUGUAGCGGUGGAAUGCGCAGAUAUCAGGAAGAACACCCGUGGCGAAGGCGGCUCUCUGGAACGCAACUGACGCUGAGACGCGAAAGCGUGGGGAGCAAACAGG